rnacentral:lncRNA from 1 species
AGUUAGGUGACUUGGUAUAUCGGGUGAACCCGGAGUGUUCGGCCCUUAAUGGAUAUGUCGAUAUCUUUAACCUGUUCUUCUGAAUACCAUCUAGCUUAAGUCACACAUCCAUGAUCAUGUUUAUUUAUAGUUAAGAUGCUAUCCACCAAUACUUCAUGUUACUUGUUAUUCCAUCAAUUGCAUUGUUCAUAUCAUGGGUAGUUUGCGAGUACAUUCAAAGUAGUCAUUGGCUUGCCACUGGUUAUAUUAUUGACCACACAUGGAAGGAACGGAGUUUGGAGAAGACUACGUCAUCGGAGACGGCCCUGCGAACUAGGACGCUUCCCAGUCAGAAUGCUUGUUGCUGUAUGCUGACGGCAUGGGCACUGAUACGUCUCCAACAUAUCUAUAAUUUUUGAUGGUUCCAUGCUAUUAUCUUGUCAAACUUUGGAUGUUUUGUAUGCCUUUUAUAUCUUUUUUGGGAGUAACUUAUUAACUCAGUGCCAAGUGCCAGUUCCUGUUUUUUUCGUGUUUUUGACCCUUUUCAGAGGAGAAUAUUAAAUGGAGUCCAAACAGAAUAGAACCUACGAAAAGAUUUUUUCCUGAACAGAAGAUUCGCGGGGAGCUUGAGAACCAAGGCAGAGGGCACCGGGGGAGGCCACAACCCCCCUCGGCGCGGCUAGGGGGCCGCGCCUAGCAGGCUUGUGGGCCCCCUAUGGCUCGUCUGCGCUACUUCUUCUGCCUAUAAAUCCCCGAAAAAUCUGAAACCACGAGAGAGAUCCACGAAAAUACUUUUCCGCUGCCGCAAGCUUCUGUCUCCGCAAGAUCCCAUCUGGGGCAUGUUCUGGUGCCCUGCCGUAGGGGGAUUCGGAUACGGAGGAUAUCUUCAUCAACACCAUUGCCUCUCCGAUGAUGCAUGAGUAGUUCACUAUAGACCUUCGGGUCCAUAGCUAGUAGCUAGAUGGCUUGUUCUCUCUCUUGGAUCUUCAAUACAAAGUUCUCCAUCACCUUUAUGGAGAUCUAUCCGAUGUAAUCUUCUUUUGCGAUGUGUUUGUCGAGAUGCGAUGAAUUGUGGAUUUAUUAUCAGAUUAUCUAUGAAUCUUAUUUGAGUUUCUUCUGAUAUCUUAUAUGCAUGAUUUCAUAUCCUUGUAAUUCUCUUCGAGUUGUGGGUUUUGUUUGGCCAACUUGAUCUAUGAUUCUUGCAAUGGGAGAAGUUCUUGGUUUUGGGUUCAUACCGUGCGGUGACCUCACCCAGUGACAGAAGGGGUAGCGAGGCACGCAUCAUGUUGUUGCCAUCAAGGGUAAAAAUAUGGGGUUUAUAUCUAUUUCAUGAGUUUAUCCCUCUACAUCAUGUCAUCUUCCUUAAGGCGUUACUCUGUUUGUCAUGAACUCAAUACACUAGAUGCAUGCUGGAUAGCGGUCGAUGUGUGGAGUAAUAGUAGUAGAUGCAGAAAGUAGCGGCCUACUUGUCUCGGACGUGAUGCCUAUAUGUAUGAUCAUUGCCAUAGAUAUCCUCAUGACUUUGCACGGUUCUAUCAAUUGCUCGACAGUAAUUCAUUCACCCACCGUAAUAUUUUCUAUUUUGAGAGAAGCCUCUAGUGAACACUAUGGCCCCCGGGUCUACUCCACAUCAUAUUUUCAGCCCUACACUUUUACUUUGUUGCACUGUCCGCCUUCAGAUCUCACCUUGUAAUCAAUCGUGAAGGGAUUGACAACCCCUUUGUAGCGUUGGGUGCAAGUUUGCUAUUUUUGCGCACGUACAUCGGUGCUUCAUCUUAAUACUCCUACUCGAUUGAUACCUUGGUUCUCAAACUGAGGGAAAUACUUACUGCUACCAUGCUGCAUCACCCUUUCCUCUUCAAGGGAAAAAACAAAGCAAGUUCAAGAGGUAGCAAGAAGAAUUUCUGGCGCCGUUGCCAGGGAGGAGGAUCAAGUCAAGAAUAGUCUCCCGUCAACGUGCCAAUUUCUGGCGUCGUUGCCGGGGAGCAUCAAGUGAAGCUUAUCCAAGUAACCGUCGCAAACUCAUCUCUUACAUUUACUUUUUUCCUCUCGUUUUCCUCUGCCCCACAUCUGAAAAACAAAAAUUUACAAAAAUAUUUGCCUUUUUCGUUGGCCCUUUUUUUCGCUUGAUUUCUAUUCGCUUGUGUGCUUGUGUGCUUGCUGAAGUCACCAUGACUGAAAACACCAAACUUUGUGACUUCUCGAAUACUAAUAAUAAUGAUUUUAUUAGUACUCCGAUUGCUCCCGCCACUAGUGCGGAAUCAUAUGAAAUCAAUGUUGCUUUGCUGAAUCUUGUUAUGAAAGAGCAAUUCUCCGGCCUUCCUAGUGAAGAUGCCGCAUCCCAUCUUAAUAUCUUCAUUGAGUUAUGCGAUAUGAAAAAGAAGAAAGAUGUGGAUAAUGAUGUGAUUAAAUUGAAGCUUUUUCUGUUCUCAUUGCGAGAUCGAGCAAAAACUUCGUUUUCAUCUUUGCCCAAAAAUAGUAUUGAUUCUUGGAACAAGUGCAAAGAUGCUUAUAUAUCCAAGUAUUUUCCGCCGACUAAGAUUAUCUCUCUCCAUAAUGAUAUCACGAAUUUUAAGCAACUUGAUCAUGAACAUGUUGCACAAUCUUGGGAGAGAAUGAAAUUAAUGAUUAGAAAUUGUCCCGCUCAUGGCUUGAGUCUUUGGAUGAUUAUACAAAUCUUCUAUGCUGGUUUGAAUUUUGCUUCUAGAAAUAUCUUGGACUCUGCCUUCGGUGGAACUUUCAUGGAAAUCACAUUAGGAGAAGCCACAGAACUCCUGGACAAUAUCAUGACAAACUAUUCUCAGUGGCACACUGAAUGGUCACCUACUAGUAAAAAGGUACACGCUAUAGAAGAAAUUAACUCGUUGAGUGCUAAGAUGGAUGAGUUAAUGAAAUUUUUUGCUAGUAAAGGUUCUCCUUUAGAUCCAAAUGAUAUGCCCUUGUCUUCCUUGAUUGAGUGUAGCAAUGAAAGCUUGGAUGUUAAUUUUGUUGGUAGGAAUAAUUUUGGCAACAACAAUGCUUUUAGAGAAAACUAUAUUCCUAGGCCUUCUCCUAGUAAUCCCUCUAAUAACUUUGGCAACUCCUACAACAAUGCUCAUGGAAAUUACAAUAAAUUACCCUCUGAUCUAGAGAGUAAUAUCAAAGAGUUUAUCAACUCGCAAAAGAUUUUCAAUGCGUCCAUAGAACAAAAUCUACUCAAACUUGAUGAUUUGGCUAAGAGCGUUGAUAGAACGUCUCUUGAUAUUGAUGAUUUGAAAGUUAGAUGUGCUCCUCCCAAGAUCAAUAUGGGUGAAACUUUGAAAGUUAUGCAUGUUUCCAUGAAUGAGAGUAAAGAAAGAACCGCCCAAAUUCGUGCUAGACAUGAAUGGCUUAAAAAGGCGAGUUCUCGUGAUGAGAAUCACGAAGAUCUUAAAGUGCUUGGUGUGACUCCCAUUGAGUCAUUGUUUUCUAGUGUCAAACCUAAUGAUGAUGGGGCUGGAUAUGAAUCCACCUUGGUUGAAAAAUGCCCCAAUGAUUCGGAGUCUAUCUAUGUUGAUGCUAAAAGCAUGAUAUCAAAACUUUGAGUAGUAAUGAAACUACUACUUUGGAUUUCAAGGAAUUCAAUUAUGAGAGUUGCUAUUUGAUUGAAUGUAUUUCCUUGAUGCAAUCCAUGCUAAACUCUCCACACGCUUAUAGCCAAAACAAGGCCUUUACCGAUCAUAUCGUCGAUGUUAUGAUGAAAUCUCUUGAAGAGAAACUUGAAUUGGAAGUUUCUAUUCCUAUAAAACUUUAUGAUGAGUGGGAACCUACUAUCAAAAUCAAGAUCAAAAACUAUGAAUGCAAUCCUUUGUGUGAUUUGGGUGCUAGUGUUUCCGCGAUUCCAAAGUCUUUAUGUGAUGUUCUAGGCUUUAAUGAGAUUGAUGAGUGCUCUCUUAAUUUUCAUCUUGCGGAUUCUACUGUUCAGAAACCUAUGGGAAGGAUCAAUGAUGUUCUUAUUAUUGCAAAUAGGAACUAUGUACCCGUAGAUUUCAAUGUGCUCGAUAUUGAUUGAAUCCUACAUGUCCUAUCAUUCUUGGUAGACCUUUCCUAAGGACUAUUGGUGUUGUCAUCGAUAUGAAGGAAGGGAAUAUUAGAUUUCAAUUUACAUUAAAGAAGGGCAUGGAACAUUUUCCUAUAAAGAAAAUAAGAUUUCCUUAUGAAUCCAUGAUGAGGGCUACUUAUGGUUUGAGUACCAAAGACGAUGAUACGUGAUUCUAUCACCUUAUGCCUAGCUAAGGGUGUUAAACAAUAUCGCUUGUAGGGAGGGAACCCAAUGAAUUUAUCUUUGCUUUUUGCUUUCUGUUUUGUUGCGUCCACACCAUCAUAAUUCUGUUAUGGUUGUGUCUUUUGUGUUUCUUUUUUUGUUUGAGCCAAGUAAAACCUUUAUGACUAGUUUGCUGACGGUUGUUUGAUCAUGCUGGAAAAAGACAGAAACUUUUCGCUCACAAAAUUAUUUUUCAUUUUUAUCCAGAAAGAACUUUUGAGUUGAUUCAUUUUGCUGCUGGUUGAUAUGCCAAUUGCACAAAUUGUCGUAAUUGUUCAGAAUUUUUGAGAUACUAUAAGUAUACGAAGUAUACAGAUUGCUAUAGACUGGUUUCUUUUUGACAGAUUCUGUUUUUGUUGUGUUGAUUGCUUAUUUUGAUGAAACUAUGGAUAGUAUCGGGGGGUACUAGCCAUGGAAAAUACAGAACAUAGUAAUCUAACACCAAUAUAAAUAGAAAUCAAGUUUGCUACAGUACCUCAAGAGGUGGUAGUUUGUUUUUUUGUGCUAAUGAUAUCACGAGUUUCUGUUUAUGUUUUGUGUUGUGAAGUUUUCAAGUUUUGGGUGAUGUUCUCACGGACAAAGGGAUAAAGAGUGGAAAGACCUCAAUCUUGGGGAUUCCCAAGGCAUCCCAAGCCAAAUUCAAGGACACCAAAAAGCCUAAGCUUGGGGAUGCCCCGGGAAGGCAUCACCUCUUUCGUCUUUAAUCCAUCGGUAACAUUACUUGGAGCUAUAUUUUUACUCACCACAUGAUAUGUGUUUUGCUUGGAGCNNNNNNNNNNNNNNNNNNNNNNNNNNNNNNNNNNNNNNNNCGUCGUGUAUUAUAGGAGUCUUUUCUGUUUCUUGUGUCACAAUCAUCCUUGCUGCACACCUUUUGAGAGAGACAUGAACUCAUCGUGAAUUUGCUAGAAUACUCAUUGAGCUUCGCUUAUAUCUUUUGAGUUAGGCAAUUUAGCUCACAUGUGCUUCACUUAUAUCUUUUGAGAUAGAUAACUUUGCUCUAAGUGCUUCACUUAGAUCUUUUAGAGCACGGCGGUGCCAUAUUUUGGAGAAAUAAGAACUCUCGAUCUUCACUUAUAUCUUUUUGAGAGUGCUCUCUCUGAGUAACUUGGUAGUUGGCUUGUGCUAUGAAAGUAGUCCCAAAGGUGAUAGGCACCCAAAGAGGAUACAAUAAAACUUCCAUAUUCAUGUGCAUUGAUUAGAAACAGAAGUUUGAUUCCUCUCAAUUAGUUUUGAGACACGGAUUUGGUAAUAUUAAGAGUUAUGUUAGUAGGGUGUUGGGAAUCUAGAAAUACUUGUGUUAAAGUUAGUGAUUCCCGUAACAUGCACGUAUGGUGAACCGCUAUGUUAGGAAGUCGGAGCAUAAUUGAUUUAUUGAUUGUCACCCUUUGUGUUGCGGUCGGGAUCACGCGAUGGUUAACACCUACCAACCCUUCCCCUAGGAGUAUGCGUUUAGCACUUUGUUUUGAUUACCAAUAAAAACUUUCUCAAUAAGUAUGUGAGUUCUUCAUGACUAAUGUGAGUCUAUGGUAUAGAUGCAAUUUCACCUUUCACCAUUGCUAGCCUCUCUAGUGCCGCGCAACUUUCGCCUGUGCACAAACCCACCAUAUGCAUUCCUCAAAACAGCCACCAUACCUACCUACUAUGGCAUUUUCAUAGCCAUUCUGAGAUAUAUUGCCAUGCAACAACCACCGUUCCGUCUCAUGACAUGUGUCGUCACUUUCAUAUUGCCAUUGCAUGAUUGUAAGAUAGCUAGCGAUAUGUUUCAAUGUCAUACGCCAAGCUAGAUUGUUGCACAUCUCGGUACACUGCCACAGGCAUUUCCUAUAGAGUCAUCAUCGUUCUAAGCAUUGAGCCUUGAGUAAAUGAAAGUGUGAUGCUCAUCAUUAUUAGAGCAUUGUCCCAUGUGAGGAAAAAAAGAGGCCAAAGUUGCCCACAAAAAAAUAUAUAUGGAAAGAGGCCAAAGAGCCCACAAAAGAGAGAGAGAGAGAAAAAGAGAGAAGGGACAAUGCUACUAUCUUUUUCCACACUUGUCUUUCAUAAUAGCACCAUGUUCUUCAUCAUUGAGAGUCUCUUGUUUUGACACCACCAUAUACUAGUGGGAAUCUUCAUUAUAUAACUUGGCUUGUAUAUUCCAAUGAUGGGCUUCCUCGAAAUUGCCCUAGGUCUUCGUGAGAAAGCAAGUUGGAUGCACACCCACUAGUUCUCCUUUUGAGCUUUCACGUACUUAUAGCUCUAAGUUCAUCCAUUGCAUGGUAAUCCCUACUCUUUCACAUUGAUAUCUAUUGAUGGGCAUCACCAUAGCCCUUUGAUACGCCGAGUCAAUGUGACCAUCUCCUCCUUUUUGCCUCACAACCUUCACCACACUCUAUUCCACCUAUAAGUGUUAUAUCCAUGGCUCACACUCAUGUAUUGUGUGAGAGUUGAAAAAGGUUGAGAAAGUAAGAGCGCGAAAACAAUUACUUGGCCAAUACCGGGGUUGUGCAUGAUUUAAAUUCGUUGUGUGGGGGUGAUAGAGCAUAGCCAGACUAUAUUAUUUUGUAGGGAUAAUUUUCUUUGGCCUUGUUAUUUUGAAAGUUCAUGAUUACCUUGCUAGUUUGCUUGAAGUAUAAUUGUUUUCAUGUCAAUAGCAAACUAUUGUUUUGAAUCUUACGGAUCUGAACAUUCAUGUCACAUGAAAGAAGUUACAAAGGACAAAUAUGCUAGGUAGCAUUCCACAUCAAAAAUUCAGUCUUUAUAACUUCCCUACUCGAGGACGAGCAGGAGUUAAGCUUGGGGAUGCUUCAUACGUCUCCAACGUAUCUAUAAUUUUGGAUGGUCCCAUGCUAUUAUCUUGUCAAACUUUGGAUGUUUUGUAUGCCUUUUAUAUCUUUUUUGGGAUUAACUUAUUAAUUUAGUGCCAAGUCCAGUUCUUGUUUUUUCCGUGUUUUUGACCCUUUUCAAAGGAGAAUAUUAAACAGAGUCCAAACAGAAUAAAAGCUCCCAAAAAUAUCUUUUCCGGAAUAGCAGAUACACAGGGAGCUUGAGAACCAAGGCAAAGGGCACUAGGGGAGGCCACAAGCCACCUAGGCGCGGCAGGGGGGCCACGCCUAGCAGGCUUGUGGGCCCCCUAUGGCUCGUCUGCCCUACUUCCUCCGCCUAUAAAUCCCCGAAAAAUCUAAAACCACGAGAGAGAUCCACGAAAAUACUUUUCCGCCGCCGCAAGCUUCUGUCUCCGCAAGAUCCCAUCUGGGGCACGUUCUGGUGCCCUGCUGGAGGGGGGAUUCGGAUACGGAGGGCUUCUUCAUCAACACCAUUGCCUCUCCGAUGAUGCGUGAGUAGUUCACUAUAGACCUUUGGCUCCAUAGCUAGUAGCUAGAUGGCUACUUCUCUCUCUUGGAUCUUCAAUACAAAGUUCUCCAUGAUCUUCAUGGAGAUCUAUCCGAUGUAAUCUUCUUUUGCGGUGUGUCUGUCGAGAUCUGAUGAAUUGUGGAUUUAUGAUCAGAUAUCUAUGAAUCUUAUUUGAGUUUCUUCUGAUCUCUUAUAUGCAUGAUUUCAUAUCCUUGUAAUUCUCUUCGAGUUGUGGAUUUUGUUUGGCCAACUUGAUCUAUGAUUCUUGCAAUGGGAGAAGUGCUUGGUUUUGGGUUCAUACCGUGCGGUGACCUCACCCAGUGACAGAAGGGGUAGCGAGGCACGCAUUGUGUUGUUGCCAUAAAGGGUAAAAAGGUGGGGUUUAUAUCUAUUGCAUGAAUUUAUCCCUCUACGUCAUGUCAUCUUGCUUAAGGCGUUACUCUGUUUGUCAUGAACUCAAUACACUAGAUGCAUGCUGGAUAGCGGUCGAUGUGUGGAGUAAUAGUAAUAGAUGCAGAAAGUAUCGGUCUACUUGUCUCAGACGUGAUGCCUAUAUGUAUGAUCAUUGCCUUAGAUAUCUUCAUGACUUUGCACGGUUCUAUCAAUUGCUCGACAGUAAUUCGUUCACCCACCGUAAUAUUUGCUAUUGUCAGAGAAGCCUCUAGUGAACACUAUGGCCCCCGGGUCUACUCCACAUCAUAUUUUCAGCCCUACACUUUUACUUUGUUGCACUUUCCGCCUUCAAAUCUCACCUUGCAAUCAAUCGUGAAGGGAUUGACAACCCCUUUGUAGCGUUGGAUCCAAGUUUGCUGUUUUUGCGCAGGUACAUCGGUGCUUCAUCUUGAUACUCCUACUGGAUUGAUACCUUCGUUCUCAAACUGAGGGAAAUACUUACUGCUAUUGUGCUGCAUCACCCUUUCCUCUUCAAGGGAAAAAACCAACGCAAGCUCAAGAGGUAGCAGACACCCUCUUAGCCCUUAGAUUUCUGCUACUAGUUGUAUCAGUUUGAUGUGGCCUUAUAGGCCCUACCUUGUGAACUUGACCUUAUCGGUCUUGUGUUGUAAUAUUUCGGUACUUGGUUGUAAGACUCUUAAUAUUCAACAUCUUUGUGUUCGGAGAGCAUUGAUCUCUGGGAUCACUAAGCACGUUCAUUCGGCGAUCUCGACUCGUAAGUCGGGGUCCCCAUAGAGCUGGUAUCAGAGCCAUCCUGACUGUAGGAAGCCUUAGGUAGCAUGGACGAUAGUCGAGACGAUUAGUGCACUUAGCCCUUACACUUGAGAUUUUCUGCACCCACCAAAAAUUUCUAACCCUCCCCUACAACCUUGUAGAUGGCCGCCGUACCUGAGAUUCUUAUGGAGACAGGCUUUCCCCUACUUUUGGGAGCUAGCCUCGAGAAGUGUCAAGUACGCCGCACACCCAUCUUCCUCUAUCACGAGCACUGGGUCAACUCCGACACCAAGGAAUAUCACGUGGAUGUGAUAGUGAAGGCUAACGACUCCCCAACUAGUUGGUUCUUUGAAGGACCACAGAUGGAGAAUCUGAUGUUGGCAGUGGAUACAGCCGCACGAGAGGCCCUCGUGCGUCUCCGUGACAUCCUUCCCGAGAUGUCUAAUGAGCCAGCUACUCAUCACCUGCCUUUUAUUAAGGACGAGAUUGACGGGAGUUGGACACUCAACCCAUCUUCAGAGGACGGGACACCACUAAGGUUUUAGACCUACUUCAGCCUCUCCGUCGACAUCUUGACUCACCUUCUGAUCAAGGAGUCGAUGAUGCUUCGCCAAGAGCUACACCAAGUCAAGGACCUACUUUGCCUGGAGAAGAUGAAGACCUGCAAGGUCAAGAAGGAAGGAGCACCCGGAGGGCAGUCAACCAUUGCCUUCCGAGGAGGAAUACCACUGCUCGAGGCCACUCCUAUUGAGAGUCGAUGUCUAACCGCGGAAGAGUACACUGAGCUCCUCACCGCUUCGCCGACUAAGAGACGCCAUGAUGGACAACUUCUGUCACCCACACCUGUGAAGGAGGAAAGCACCGAUGAGGAUGAAGACGAAGACCCUGCAGAGCCUGCCUAUGAGACCGAGCAGUCCGCCGCUUAGAAGUACGACUUAGGCAACUAGGAGUCUUCCCCAAGCGUAGUGAGUCCAUUUAUCGGUUCAUGUGAACCAUGAGUGUUGUGUAAACAUGUAUGAUGCAAGCCGCAUUUCUGCCUUAGGCAGCUUGUAAGCAACUACAUCACUUGUUUCAUUUUAAUGCAUUGCUUUCCCAAAAACCUUUGUUUAAAAAUCUCACACUAGCAUGACACCAAACCCCCUUAUUAGAGCAUCAUCCCUUAUGAUUCCCCGCUAAUUUGGCAUAUUUACCUGUCUACUCCCCUAACAGGAUGGUGAUUUCAACCUGCACCAGCACCUUCAGCAACCAAGGCUCUGCCUCCCCUGGCCUGCAGCAGGGAACCGGUGGAAACGCUCACGCUGGAGAUCACCACGAGCAGCAGCAAGACGAUAUUCCUCCGCCAUCGCCUCCUCCGGAGAGCCUGACUGUGGCUAUGUUCCUCCAAGCUCUCCGAGAGGAAUGUCAAGCCAACCAUGCCGCAAUCCAACAGCUGUCUCAAGUCUUGGUGAACAAUCCGCCGCAAAACGGAAAUGGCAACGGUCGCUCUACUCUAUCUGAGUUCAUGCGGACUACGCCUCCUAUAUUCACACAAACAACUGAACCAUUGGAUGCCGAUGACUGGAUCCAGACUAUCGAAGACCUCCUCGCGCUGGUCAAGUGCACUGAUGAUCGCGAGAAAGUCCUUUAUGCUUUUCACUUUCUCGGAGGCACGGCCAGAGCUUGGUGGGACGGGUUACAGACCAUGCGAGAAGGGCAAGCUAUCACUUGGACAAUGUUCAACGAAUUAUUCCGCGCUACUCACAUUCCUCCUGGAAUGAUGACCAUUAAGAAGCGGGAAUUCCGAGCUUUAAGGCAAGGCAGUGGAACCGUCAAGGAGUAUCUGCAGAAGUUUAACCUCCUGUCGAGAUAUGCACCACGGGAAGUCAACACUGAGGCCUCUAAGGUGGAGCGCUUUAUGGAAGGACUGCAGUAGUCACUCCAGUAUCAACUGGUUGUUUGUGAAUGUCGGACCUUCUGCGAUCUGGUUAACAAGGCCCUCAUGUUGGAGGAUAAGCGUCAUGCAAUGGACGACACCCUUAAGCGCAAGCUGGUGGGUUGUGGAGGACCUAGUAACCCGAAACCACGCUCAUGACAGUCAGCUCCACCAAGACCCAGUUAUCAGCAACUGCAGUACAAGGCACCAACAUUCCGCCAGAACUACCAGCCUCAGCAGCAAGUCAACACCAAGCCAGCAUUCAACCCACCAAACAACAGUGGAGUCAAGACCAACAUCCCGGGACAGGUUACCUGUUUUGGAUGUGGACAAGCUGGGCACUAUUCCAGGCAGUGCCCCAACAAGAAGCAUGACGCAUCGCGCCCCAAUGCGCCAAAUCAAGGACAAGGUCAAGGAGCACCAGGCAGGAACCAAGCUCCCCGCAACCAGCAGUAUCACAACAUGGGUCGUAUUAAUCACAUCUCCACAGAAAAAGCACAUGAAGACCCGGACUGCAUUCUGGGUACGUUCCUCGUAAACUCUUCCCUGGCAACAGUAUUGUUUGAUUGUGGUUCUUCGCAUUCUUUUGUUACUCAGAAGUUUGCGGAAAAAUGUGGUUUGAAGCCUACCCUACUUAACAGGCAAAUGGCAGUACAUAAUCCGGGAGCAGUGCUAAGGACCAACCUAGGAUGUAGAGGAGUCGGGAUCAAUAUUAAUGGGAUAAGCUUUUCAGCAGAUCUCAUCAUCAUUGAGUCGCAAGGCUUAGAAGUAAUCCUUGGAAUGGAUUGGUUGGCCAAGCACCAGAGCAUCUUGGACUGUGCCAACAUGACUAUUACCAUGACAAGCGACCAAGGGGUCAAAGUCAAGUAUGUCCCUGAGCCUACAUCCAAUCAAGCCCCGCAUGUUAAUUGCCUAUCGGGAGAAAAGCUGGAUCGAGUGAUAAUAGUCUGUGAAUACCCGGACGACUUUCCUGAUGAGCUACCAGGGAUGCCUCCCGACCGAGACAUCAAGUUCAUCAUUGAGCUCAUGCCCGAGUCAAGGCCUAUUUAUAAGAAGCCUUAUAGGAUGAGAUCCGAAGAGCUAGCAGAGAUGAAGAAGCAGCUGGAUGAGCAACUCAGGAAAGGAUUCAUUCGUCCGAGUGCAUCACCUUGGGGAUCACUUGUUUUGUUCGUGUCUAAGAAGGAUGGGACUACCAGACUCUGCGUCGAUUACCCUUCUCUCAAUGAAGUCACGAUCAAGAACAAGUACCCACUCCCCAAGAUUGAAGACUUGUUUGACCAGUUAAAUGGAGCCAAGGUAUUUUCCAAGAUCGAUCUCCGAUAUGGAUAUUACCAACUGAAGAUCAGACCUGAAGACAUACCGAAGACUGCAUUCCUGACCCGGUAUGGUCUAUACGAGUGCACUGUCAUGUCAUUUGGGUUGACGAAUGCCCCAGCAUACUUCAAGUACCUCAUGAACAAGGUCUUCAAGGAAUACCUGGACAAGUUUGUUGUCGUUUUCAUCGAUGACAUAUUAAUCCUCUCCAAAUCCGAAAAAGAGCAUGAGCAACACUUGAGGUUAGUGUUGGAGAACUUCGAGAGCACCAACUUUAUGCCAAAUUCAGCAAAUGCCAAUUUUGGCUGCACGAAGUUGGAUUCUUGGGUCAUACCAUGACGGCAAACGGAUUAGCGGCUGAUCCUUCCAAGAUUACUACGGUAACCAACUGGGAGUCGCCAAUCGAUGUGAAGGAAAUCAGGAGCUUCCCCGGACUCGCGGGAUAUUAUCGCAAAUUCGUAGAAGGAUUCUCCCGCAUCGCUCGACCCAUGACUCAGCUCUUGAAGAAAGGCAAGAAGUUCGAAUGGACGCGAGAGUGUGAAGCAAGCUUCCAGGAGAUGAAGAAGAGAUUGACUACCGCCCCGAUAUUGGCUACUCCAGAUAUCAGCAAGGAGUUUGUCAUAUAUUGUGAUGCCUCCAGAACCAGGCUCGAUGGAGUCCUAAUGCAAGACGACAGGGUUGUGGCAUAUUUGUCACGGCAACUGCGCCCGUACGAGGAUAACUACACCACCCAUGAUCUCGAGUUGGCAGCAGUAGUGCAUGCCCUGAAGACAUGGCGACAUUACCUUCCAGGGAAGCGAUGUGAAAUAUAUACUGACCACAAAAGUCUGAAGUAUAUCUUAACUCAAAGGGAAUUGAAUAUGAGGCAGCAAAGAUGGUUGGAGUUAUCCUCAACAUUCAAUACCACCCCGGUAAGGCCAAUGUGGUGGCUGAUGCCUUAAGCCGGAAGGCCAACACCUUGAAUGUUAUCCUCAAGGAAAGUCUACCCGCCUUGUAUGAAGAAAUGGAAAGCUUCGGGUUGGAGCUAGUUGAACCAGGAUUCCUAGCUAACCUCAAAGUCAAACCCACGCUGGCAGACGACAUCAAGGAAGUCCAGAAGGGGCACAAGAGCAUCGAAGGCAUCAAGAAGAAGAUCCAGGAAGGCAAGGCCCCAAAAUUCUCGGUGGAUGAGCAAGGACUAGUGUGGUUUGGAAACGUUUAUGCAUACCCAACAAGGUGGAACUCAAGGACUUGAUCCUACAGGAAGCCCAUGACACACCCUACUCUAUUCACCCUGGUGGCACCAAGAUGUAUAUAUCAAGACCUCCGAGAAAGGUUCUGGUGGCACGGCAUGAAGAGGGAAAUAGCUUCUUACAUCGCCAAGUGCGACAUAUGCCAAAGGGUCAAGGCUGAACACCAACGACCUGCUGGAUUGCUACAACCUCUCCAAGUGCCCGAAUGGAAGUGGGACCGAGUCGGCAUGGACUUCGUCACCGGCUUACCCAGGUCCAGCAGAGGUCAUGACUCUAUAUGGGUCAUCGUCUACCAUCCGACCAAGGUGUCUCACUUCAUUAUGGUUAGUACCACCUAUGGGGGCGACAAGCUGGCUAGCCUCUACAUUGAGCGCAUUGUAAGCCUUCAUGGAGUUCCCAAGUAGAUUGUAUCUAACCGAGGUAUGCAGUUCACCUCAAGAUUCAGGAAGAAGUUCCAAGAAGCUCUCGGAACCAAACUCUCUUUCAGCACCGCCUUCCACCCACAGACGGGCGGACAGACGGAGAGAGUAAACCAGAUACUCGAAGAUAUGCUCUGGGCAUGUGUCUUGGCACAUGGUGCCAAAUGGGAAGACUGUCAGCCGGUCGCUGAGUUCUCGUACAACAACAACUACCAGUCCAGUCUCCAGAUGGCCCCACUCAAAGUGUUGUAUGGAUGAAAGUGUCGUACCCCGCUAAACUGGUUCGAAACCGGCGAAGGAUUGAUUUUUGUGACGGAAGUUCUGCAAGAGGCAGAAGAUAAGGUGCAAAUUGUCCGAGAAAACUUGAAGGGAACCAAGUCGCGACAAAAGAGCUAUGCGGAUUCUCACUGCAGAGAAGUGGAGUUCAUUCCCGGAGACCAGGUGUACCUUUGCUUCACCCCUCUCAAAGGAACCAAGCGUUUCCACGUCAAGAGGAAACUUGCUCCAAGGUUCAUUGGACCUUUUAAGAUCAUGACAAGGCGUGGAGAAGUUGCAUACCAGUUGGAACUACCUCGAGAACUUUCGGGAGUGCACAAUGUCUUCCACGUGUCACAACUCCGGAAGUGUCUACAAGCGCCAAACCGUCCAGAUCUUUAUAAGAACAUUGACCAUCAGGCCAUCGACCUCCAGCCAGAUCUCACUUAUCGUGAGAGGCCGAUCCGCAUCUUGAUGAAGUAGAGCGUUGCACCAGAAGCCGCACCAUCAAGCACUUCAAGGUUCACUAGAGCAACCACACCGAAGCAGAAGCAACAUGGGAAUGUGAAGACUAUCUCCGACCUGUAUUUAUGUACCUUUUUAGCACCUAGCUUAGGAAUCUCGGGGACGAGAUUCUUGUAAGGGGGAUAGGUCUGUCACACCCUGUUUUCACUUCACUUUUACUAUAGUUCAAAAAUCUGAGUUUAUUAAAACUUUUCAAAAACCAAUGAUGUGAGUGCCAUGGUUGUCAUUGUAUACUUGUAUGCUUGAUUAUGCAAUAUCAAAACCAUAUUUUUCCUACCUAAACAUUCUCAAAAUCCUUUUUUUUAUUUCUGAUUAUUUCAAAACCCUGCUUUGGGUUGCACUACAAGUCCUUGGCAGCAAGGGACUGCUUUCACCCAAAGAUGGUCAUCUGGUUUCAAAACUAUUUUACCUCACUAAAACAAUAAAAUAAUUAUUUAUGAAUUAUUUUCCUAUUUUAAUUGCAUGUCCAUUUUGAGGCUAGAAAUGAUAUUCCUAGAUGGAAAAAUACUUUUCUGCCUUAGAAAAGUCUCACAAAAUUUGGAGAUACUCACACGACAUAUAUUUUCUAUACAUAAGAUUUUGAACCCCUAUUUAUAUUCAAAAUAUUUGAGUAAAUCCUUGAAAACCUAUUCUGACUGUUUUGAUCUUUUGGAAUAUUUCCAAAGGUAAUAUUUUCAAUAAAAUCCCAUAAAAUUCCAGGAACCUUCCCAAGCAAUAUUUAGUGGCCACACCAAGUUUCACCUCAUUCCAGGGUGGUUUGGCUCACUUAAUAAUUCCAAAACCCUUUCUCUCCAGAACCAAGUUGAAACAUCUCUACUUUGCAAAGUUUAUCCAAAUAGGUUGAAACUUUGCAGGAGUGUUCAACACCCCAAAUGAGCAGUCUCUGCCAAAAAAUGGGAUUUGCAGGAGGUAAUUUACCCACAUUCCCUUUGGAGGGACAUAUCUACCAUUUGGGGGGUGAUUUCUAGUUUGCAUUGCCAAACUCAUCCAAAGAGGCUCAAAUUUGGUGGAGUAUCUUAUUUUUGCACCCAAGCUAAUCCUGUUAACUCUCACCACCAGUGGUGAGGUGUUGCUACACCAAACAUCUGUCGAACACCUAAUGUCAUAAUAGCAAAACAACUCCUAUCCCACUCCACACUUAAGCUCUUCCCUCCAAACUCUUUGACCAAGUAGCCAGCACCACUCCCCAACUACAAAGAGUGGACCCUCUUUGAAUCCAAGCAGAAGGCCCCAAAAUCCUCAUUCUAAUUUCUGGUCUAGCACUCGCAGCUCUUCUUUCCUCUCCUCCCAUGGGCAACAGUGCCCCCCUCGGCUCCCAAACGGCUAGGCAUCUCCAAGCCAAGCCCCAGGACAGCCCACACAAGGCCAAAGCGCCCCAGAGAGCGCCAGCAUGUCGUGGCAUGCCAGAACUGCGCUCUGGGAAUGUUGUUGGGCGAACCCGCCAAGGUGGCCAGCCCGGCCGGUUCAAGCCUCGCCGUGUUGCCAUUUCGAGUCCCCGACCACCUCUCUGCAUCAGGGCAGCCCCAGGGCCCCUCCUCCCUCCCUCUGUUGACCGAAGCAACGCGUGCCCUUGCACGCCAGAUCCACCAGAAGACUGUGGCCAUGCGUGCACGCUCCUUCUCGCUCUAUCUCCCUCUCAGUGGGUCACGUAGAUCCUAAACCACGUCCACACACCGUGGUUUCGACCCGUAGGCUCACUGCCCCUCCUGCGAGCUACGGUGAAACCACCGGCGUCACCGGCUCGGUACACCGCCGGGAGCCUAUUGAUUGGGCCUUCCCAUCGCUCCAGCACCUCCAUCCCACCUCUCCAGAGCCUGAAUUCCACCCCUGGCCUCUCCAUUUGAGCACAGCGAGCUCCUGUACUCAAGAUCGACCGAGGCCCCACUCCUUCGGAGCUCCAUCGAUCUCGGGCUAUGGGCCAGCUCUGGUGCUCCUUCCACCUCCUACGGGUUCCUAGCAACCUCAGGGAGCUUCCCCAUCACCUCCUCGAGCUUAACCACGCCCAUAGCACCCAGUACAUCGACCUCCCAAAACUGCUGCGCCGUAGCAUCUCGUCGCCGGUGAAGCAGGGCCUCCCCGUCGACCUCUCGACCACCAGCAAUUAGGCGACGGUAGGUUCGUUCCAUUUCUGCCUUGGUUGGGAUCCAGGCCAUCGGUAACAACGCCGGCGAGCCUCCCUCCUCUCUGUCCCGAGGUGGAAGACGACCCCGACAGUUGGGGCUCACCUGUCGGUGGCCCCUAUCUCCCCCUCUCUCCUCUCUGCCACUGAUAGCAGGGGCCCGCGCGUCAGGGUUGAACUUGGUCGCGCGCGCGCCUCAGCUGGCUCGCUGGGCCGGCCCAAGCCUCGGGCCAAGCCAGGCCUGAGCCCCAACCUCUUUCCUUUUUUAUGUUAAAUAAAUUUUUGAAAGAUUUUUAUAAAAAUAAUUAUUCAAUAUAUUUUUAUUAUUCUUCCACCAUAAUUCUUCUAAAAAUGAGUAGUAUUUAACAUAGCCUUUUGAACAAAUUUUUGAGACAACCUUUCUGUUUUAUAAUAACUAAAAAGGCUAUUUGGAAUACUUUUGCUUAUGUUAAAAUACUUUUAAAAAUAAUCCUUUCAUUAAAACCAAAGACAAAUAUUUUUAAAUAAUAAUAUGGAUUUAUCAGAAUUAAGAAACAUUUUUAAAGUGACUUUGUGCUCUAUUUUUGAGUGAGCUACUUAUUACUUUUUAUUUAUUACGACGAUAGGAACCACGUUUCACGAAGGAGUUGGACUUGAAGACCCCGAAGACCCCGGAUACUUAGCUGAUAAAGGUAAGCAGCCCUUUGACCAUGUCUGAGCAUAUGUUAUAUUGCAUGUUAAGUAGAACAAAUAUGUCCGUUGCAUGUGAUCAUAAGUAUUGCUAAAUCAUCGGUAUGAUGUUUCCGAUGGCUCCUCCGGAGCACUUGCAUUUUGAUCAUGAUCCUACCACCUCUGAGGGUCACGCAAAUAUCAUGUUGACAUGUAGAGCUAAGCAUAGUAGAAGCAUGAACAUGAUGAUGGUAUAAAUCAAAGGUUUAUGAAAACCCCAUCGGGUGCCACUAAUGCCCGAGGGUGAUGAUGAAUUAGGUGGCCACUUUUGGAGAAGUGGUGCACCGGGUGUAUUUUGGUGUGAGUGGUUUCGGAAAUGGGAUUAGAUUUAUGAUGUGUCGACGGUCCCAACCUUACAUGUGCGACCACGUUACCCCUUUAUGGGACGGGGCUUUGUUGAUUACUCUGGACUGUACUAGAAUAGAGCCACAUUACUAGUGGCGGGAGUGAUGUGUGGUCACUCUCGAGACGGGGUCGUGCCAGGUAGGGCGACUAUGUCGUUUUUACGUAUUCCGGGCACACCGUUGGUCCUCGCAUGAAUGAUACUGUCCAGAGUUCGUGCUCGUAAGACAUACAUCAUGUGGGAUGGGUACCAAUCGAGUGGACCUCUUUGUCUAGUAUCGUCAGGGGAAAGGCAUUGAUCGGGUACUUACCUCGGGUAUGUUAUAUACCGCAAGUCGUGGAUGACACGGAAGUUUCCCGGAUCUCGUGGGUACAACAUACAACCUCUACAGAGUGUAAAACUAUUCGAUUAGCCGUGUCCACGGUCAAGGACAGUUGGGUAAUCCUGCUUAAACUAUGUCCAGUCGUUUCCGCAUAAACCAAGAGAGAGAGAGAGAGAGAGAGAGUGUGUGUGUGUGUGUGUCUUUGAGGAAUUAUGUGAGAGAGUUGAUAUGACCAAGUUUGGUGACUUGGCAUAUCCGGUGAACCCGGAGUGUUCAACCCUUAACAAAUAUGUCGAUAUCUGUAACCUGUUCUUCUAAAUACCAUCUAGCUCAAGUCGCACAUCCAUGAUCAUGUUUAUUUAUAGUUAAGCUGCUAUCCACUAAUACUGCAUGUUACUUGUUAUUCCAUCAAUUGCAUUGUUCAUAUCAUGGGCUGUUUGCAAGUACAUUCAAAGUAUUCAUCGGCUUGCCACUGGUUAUAUUAUUGACCAGAGAUGGAAGGAUCGGAGUUUGGAGAAUAGUAUGUCAUCGGAGACGGCCCUGCGAACUAGGAUGCUUCCCAGUCAGACGGCUGUUUGCAAGUACAUUCAAAGGGCACCCGCUUAGCCCUAAGAUUCCCGCUACUAGUUGUAUCAGUGUGAUGUGGCCUUAUAGGCCCUACCUUGUGAACUUGACCUUAUCGGUCUUGUGUUGUAAUAUUUUGGUACUUGGAUGUAAGACUCUUAAUAUUCAGCAUAUGUGUGUUCGGUGAGCAUUGAUCUCUGGGAUCACUGAGCAUGUUCAUUCGGCGAUCUCAACUCGUAAGUCGGGGUCCCCAUAAUAUCCAACCAUCACAUGUGUUUAAAAUUAUUUAACUUGAUGUUUUCGUUUAAUUUACACACAUGCCAUGUUAAAAUGAUUUGUCUCAUAAUUAAUUAACCAUAGAUUCGAUUAAAAUGUUGCACAUAUGUAACUCGACUAGAAAAAUGUGUAGAACAACAUGGUAGCAUUUUUUUCCUGUUUAACAACUCUAGAGUUGUGUUAUAGGCAGAACAUUACCGAAACCUUAAUAGCAUAUGGGGACUUCCCGGAAUUAUUGUUCGUUGUUCUGACCUCAUUUAAACUUUCUUAUAAUUCCAUGUAGUUUCAUAAUAUCUUGUAGCGUCCAUUUUAACAUGUUUGUGGCUGUCAUUUGCAUACAUUUUGCACUCAUGCCAUAUCAUCUUGUGUUGGUCAUAUAUUCUAAACCGUAGCUCCAUUUGCAAUGAUCUAUAUAUGUAAACCGACUAGAAUGACGUGUAGAAUCACAUGGUUAACUUUGUUUUGCUGUUGAAUAAAUAUAAAAUUUGUUUAGUUCUCACCUGGACCAACUUCGAAUUUAGCAUAUGGGGUCAUUUCAGAAAUGCUAUAUGUUGUUUUCGACCUCAUUUAAAAUUCCUAGAUAGGUAGUUUAUUUAUGCUUCACCUCUUGCCAUGCUAAAAAACAUUUAAUAUUGCCAUGUAAAUAAAUGCGAGUGAAUUAAAUGAUUCAAUGUGGAGUUUCAUCAAUAUGCAACUCGUUGCAUAUUGAGCUUCACUUAAUGUGUAGUAUUCGAUUGUGGUGACUGUCAUGCCUUGCACAAUUAAACCGGCCAUGCAUCAUAUGUGUUUGUGCAUCAUGUCAUGCAUAUGUUGUGGUGUCUAUCAUGUGUUGAUUGUUGGUUCCAGAUUGUUUCUUCUUGAUAGAGUUCCGAACCACUUUGGAGUGUGAGGAUUCGUUCGACUACGUUGGUUCAUCUACUUCAUGGAUUCGUUCUUCUUCCAAGCGGGAUCAUAUGCAAGAUGAUCAUUUCCCUAGGUACCAUUACUAUCAUUGCCAUGCUAGUUGUCUUGUUUUCUUACGCUAUGUCUCACUGCCUACCACGUGUUAUGUUCAGCCUCCCAACAUUGCCAUGAAAAGCCUCUAACCCCUCCACAUCCCAGCAAACCAUUGUUUGGCUAUGUUACCGCUUGCCCAGCCUUCUUAUAGCGUUGCUAGUUGCACGUGCAGUUGCUUCCAUGGGAAAAUAUGGUUUCCUUGUCAUAUCACCAUAUUAUUGCUAUUUAAUUUAAUGCACCUAUAUACUUGGUAAAAGGUGGAAGGAUUGGCCUUCUAGCCAGAUGUUUUGUUCCAUCUUUGCCGCCCUAGUUACUUGUGUACUGGUGUUAUGUUCCAUAAUUGAGCUCUCCUAACAUGCUUGGGGUUUUUAUGGGACCCCCUUGAUUUUCAUUUUGGAUAAAACUCUUUUGGCAAGGCCCAAAAUUGGUACUACAUUUUCCUAAUAAACUAAUAAAAUUUCAUAGGGACCCGUCGACCCCCCGUGGAUAACUAAUCAACCCCCCGGGCCAGUGCUCCGCAUGAGUGUUGGCCCAAACCGAGCGAUGUCUGGUGCCCCCUAGUCACCUGGGGUCUCAACCAACUCGACGUCUUGCUCAUCUGGUUGUGCCCUGAGAACGAGAUACGCGACUCCUAUCGAGUCUGUCAGCAUGUCGGGCGGUCUUGCUGGAUUUUUUUACUCUUAUCAAAGGACUUGUGCGAGGGAUUCGGAGGAUACUUUAGCCUAUCUCGGGGUUGAGGUUUUCCUCCAGGAAUCCGAGGAGAUCAUGGGUUUUCUGUGGUCAAGUCUUCCAAUGGAGUGUGUGGUCGUUUGUGAAGGACUAGCUGGAGCACCCCUAGAGGGUUAAUAUCUUUUGGAAAGUCGUGCCCGUGGUUAUGUUCCAACUUGGAAACUUUGUUUAACACCCGGUCAUAGCAAACUUGAAGUAAACUAAAAUAAAAUAUGCCAACUUCAUGCGUAACCGUGACUGUCUCUUCUCGUGACUUCUUAUCCAAGAGAACACAGUUGGGUUAUGUUUGACUAGUAAGUAGGUGGUCAGGAUCAUCCAUUUCUUGUACUCGUAAGUAAGCCACUCACAUAAAUGCUUAGGUGCUUGUUGUAGCCUCACCACUUAACCAUACCUUACCCAUUAAGCUUUGCUAGUCUUGAUACCUUUGGAAAUGAGAUUGUUGAGUCCCCGUGGCUCACAGAUUACUACAACCACAGUUGUAGGUACAAGUAAAGCGGUACUUUGACGUGAACAUCAUGAUUGUUCUAUUUGGAGUUUCUUCUUCUUCUUCAUCAUCGAUUAUAAGAUGGGUUUCAGGCUGGCAGCCUGGAUAGCAAGGAUGGAUGUCAUUCUUUUAUCGUUUGAUUUGAUUCGUAGUCUCACCCUGCUCUUCUACAUGGUGAUUGAAUAUAUAUUUUUAUUGUGUCUUUCAUGUUGUAGCUUGUGGCGAGUGUAAGCCAAUUCCAUAUUCUCAUCUCUUCUAUACAUGUACUUGUAACAAUAUCCGUUAUUGAAAAAUGAUGAGAUGCGCUUCUAUCCUUGUCGAGGCCCUCAUUCCAAAACAAGGAUAGGAUCGUAUCGUGGGCGUUACAAGUUGGUAUCACAUCAGUACCAACCUAGGAGCCUCCUUGAUUGAUCGGACUUGGCCGAGUCGAUUCUAGUGAAAAACUACUUUGAGUCUAGUUAUAUAUCGGAGUGUAGGAUUCUUUUUACUCCUCCUCUUCUAUGCUCUGGUGAGGAAUUCUGAUGUAGGAAUUUUAAUUCUAGUCCUCUUCUCACUCAAAACAAUUUAGGAUCACGUGGGUAUUUUGGAAUCUAUAUGAUGCCUAUGUGAUGGAGUUCUGACUUGGUGCCUCCUGCCUGACUUGAUUUCUUCCAGUGAGUUGAGCUCCAGGGGAUUCUUGUCACACUCACUAUCAUUCAGUUUCCUUAGUAUCUCAGGACGAAGGAUAUUCGAAAUUGCUUCAAAACUCUUUGUGGCUAGAGGAGUUUGGCGUCACCUAGUACUGGGGAGAGCGUCCAGAUGUACUGCCGUAAUUGGUAUCGUUGUGAUUAUGAGGCUGUGAGGUAGAUGAGUUUCCAAUAUCUCUGGUUAUGUGUUGACGGAUGUGACACAUUGGACGGGUAGUAUUAUUGCUAGGUGUUGAGUGAUAGAUUUUACUCCUUGUUUCCGUGGACCCGAUUGCAUAACCGGAAAAUUUCGGGAGUUCUUAGGUGGGAAUUCAAAUAGUUACCUAGGAUUAUCUUCCAAUGGAUGCAUGAUGUGAGGUUGGGGUUCGACAUCUAGUGGAGUCGUUUGUUCACGGUCUCUCUUACACAUGACAGUCUCGAUAUACUUCAUCACAUAUUCUCCUUCAAGCCUUGUAGUUCGCUACGCCUAGGGAGAAUAUUCGAGCAUCAUUUCAAUAUGACAAUCCAAUGUACGAUCGAGCCCGUGCGAACCUUACCACGAAAAUAUCAAACGGAAUUUGUGUCAUAAUUUUUUUUUCCGGCUUGUUUAGUAAGCCGCAUCCUUUGUUUUGUUGGAGUGUGGUAAUUCAAGUUGCCUCGAUGUCAAGUGGUGAUUUCAUAUCUUUCAUAAGAGGUGUUCUCAUAUUUAUAUGAGAGUGCUAAUAAUGUUGCUCAAGCAAGUUGUCUUAUCAAUUCUUUUCAAACUGGAGUAGUCAUGUCAAUUCUUUUUCAACCGGUGUGCUUCUCAUCUUGUAAUUAAAUUCUCUCCAUUAUUUGCAAGAUAAAUCCUAUUAUUUCUCUCCGGCAAUCAUCUCAUUUGUACCAUGUUGUCAUUGCUUUCCCCACCCUCCCACACUUUUGCUUCAACUAUUAAAUUAUCAUCCAAGUGCCUUUAUUUUCUUUGAUGCUUCCACUAUCUUUUAUUUCGUAUUGUUUUUGGUGAUCCAUUGUGAAUAUUCUUAGGAGUUUCGAGUUCAUCAUUCUUCAUUCUUGUUUUCUUCUCCGGUGAAUUCAAUUCAAUCACUCGGUGUUCAUCAUGUCCUUUUCAUCCCUAUAUGCUUUCCCAUGUUGGAAAUUCUUAUCAAGCCUCUCUUGCUUUUUUUCAUCCCUCUCUAUUCCAUCCCAAUUGCUGAAGAUAUCUCUCAACAUUGUGUUUUUGUUAAAAUACAUUCAAUUAUUUUGAGGUUCUCACCUCAUCGAGUUCUCAAUUUGUAUUGGUGCAACAUCUUUUUAUAAGAAAUAGUUUAAUGGGUGAUUUCAUUUUGAGUGGGCCCAUAACCUAGAGGUUCUUCUCCAGGAUUAUACCUAGCUCUUCUAAUAUUUUCGAGAUAUCUCUAAUUCUUUCAAGUGUGGUGUAAGUAUGGAUUCCAUUAGUCAUCAAUUUUAUUUGUUGGCUCAACCUUUUCUCAUUCAUUGUUCUGGAGUGUCUGAGUAAUUCAUGGUGUUGUUUCUCUUCAUAAUUCUCACCUUGGAAGACAGAAGAAGUGUUUCUCUUAAAUAUUUGUCUAUUUUUUCUGAAGAUUACCAUCUUAGCUUCGUGUUAUCUUCUCAAUUGUUUUAGAUCAUGAGAAAUUCCUUCCAUAUCUAUCUGGUGCAUUUCAGAGUUAUUUUCUUUUCUCGAUCCUACGAAGUCCAUCAUUUCAGAAGAUUUCUGCUUUCUCAACUUUCAACUUUCGUUCUCAAAUUAUUCUCAAUCGUUGUCUCUUUGUUCGUACCUCAAUUAUUCCGAUGCCUCAUUCAAGUUUUCUAUUAGGCGGAUCAUAGUCUCUUCGUUCUCAUGUAUCUCCAUUCAUUCUUGGUAUCCUCAUUCGUUUGUGAAUUCUUACCGGUGGUUCCUUCAAGACUUCUUCAAGUUUGUGCUCUAUCUCUCUCUCCAAUACUUUCAAUACAUAUAAGUGGUAUGCUGAAUCCAUUGCUUGUCAUCAAUUAACUUGGUGAAGGAUAAACAAAACAUAAUUCUUAUUCUUGUUCAUUAAGGUGAAUUCAAUUCUUCUUCGAGAGUUGUUCAUGAUAUCAAAUUCUUGAUUAUAAGUGCUCGUCUUUUCUUUCUGGAGUUCCAAGUUAUGUCAAGUAUAUCUUCGUGAAGUUUCAUAUAUAUCUUGAAAGGUCAUAAUCUUAUUUUUUUCAACCUUCAUUCUUUUCAUGAUUCUUUUGUAUACGUAGGUUCGUCAUGGUGGUUCUUCAAGGAUUCAGUUCAUUCUCAAAGUGUUCUUGAAGGUCCUUGUUGGAGAACCUCAAGUAUUCUUUAUCUUGCAUGUCAAAGUGCAAUUCUUCAUCAUUUUCCUUUUAGGUGGUGUUAUAGCAUUCUUGAUUCAUGGGGAGUCUCGAAGAAAAUUAGUUUCAAGAAUGAGAUAUUUAAACAGACCAAUUUAUUCGAUCAUGAGAUAUUUUCAACUCAUGAUUUCGUCACUGAAAUUAUCUUGGAUUGGAUUUCACUUAAAGCAUUUCUUAAGGAUUGUUGAUAUUAUGUUGAUUAUCGUUGAUCUAAGUUCUCAAUGUAUCCUCUUGGUGAAAUAAGUUUUGCAUAUGUUGUUGCUUCGAAGCAAUCUCCGUUUCCGUUGGUGUUCGAUUGUCAACUCAUUUUUUGAGAUGGUUUUCAUAAGUCCACAACAAGCUUGUUCUUUUCGUUGUGAUUUUCCAACAACUCCAUUCAAUCCUCGUUUGUAAGGAUUAUUUUCAAAUUUAGUUGUGAUUUAAGUUGUCAUUUUCUUCCUCAAAAAAUGAUCUAGUUUCUAUUCUUUUGUUCCCAAGGCGUUGUGAUGUUGCUCUCUUCAACUCUUCAUCCCUAUUUUUCCUUGUUUGUCCAUUUAAUCGGUGUGUUGUGUAUUUUUUUCAACAUCUUUCCAUCUUAUAAAUUUUUGCCCUCUUUCCUACCGAAGUGCUGCCCAAAUUUAUUUUGAAUUCUUGCUUGUUCCUCAUGUAAUUCUUCAUCUCUUGCAACCUUCAAGGAUCGUGGGUUUCACUCAUUCGUCAAGAAGCAACUAAGUUUUACAUCUUCCUUUCGUCUUCGUCUUCCCCUUUUCAUUCUUAGAUCUCGGGUCGAGAUCUCUUGUUAGUGUAGGAGAGUUGUAACAGCCCAAAACCGAUGCUUCAGAAGAUUCCCCUUUUAUUCUGUUGUCGCCAUGUGAUUUGUUUGGUUGUCGCAUUCAUCAUCGUAUCAUGCGCAUCAGCUGCAUUGCAUCGACACUUUGUUGCCGUCAUUUUUUUCAAAACUCGCAUCCGUUAUUAGUUGCCGCUUCUCUUUGUUUUGACGUUGACCGUUUCGAGAACCACCACACAUGCACGUGCCCGCGACAUUGAUAAAAUUAUUAUUUUUAAAAGUGUGCAUAAAAUAUUCUUGGAAUGGGUCGAAAGUUGGCGUGAGGCCUUAUUUUAAUGUAGGUAUACCGUCUGCCAAAGUUUGUCGCAUUCGGAAUUCGUUUGAUACCCGAACGGUCGACCGUAGCGGCACUGUCAUCAGUUUAUUCGUCGAGCCCUUUUCAGUUUUACAAACUCUGUCACAGGCCACACCAUUUCCCUCUCAUCUCAUCCCACCACCUACACACAACCCAAAUUUAUCCCAGCUAGCCCCUCCACUUCUGGAUCGUCCGAUCAAGAUCAAACGGUGUGAAAACUGUCUAAUCAGCUAAUCCUAGCAACCCUUGCUAUAUAUAGACAACUCCCUUGUCCAGAAUUGGAAAUCCAAACCCCAUGCAUUCAAUUAUGUGUGCCACCAUUGCCUAGCCGCCACAUUCCCCCUCGUCCCGGGCAGGCCACCACGGCCAGAUCCGGCCCGUCACGACCCGAGGGGAGCCGUUGCCGCCCGCAGCCACGAGACCCUCGAGCUCCUCCCCACAAACUAUAGCACCUGCGCCCGAGCGCGACUCCCUCCGAGCGUCAUCGUUGGUUGCCUCGGCUUCCCCAACCCUACUGCUGCACCGUAGUCGUCGCCUCGAUGAGGCCAGGCCCCGCGCGCCGGACCUCUCCGUCUUCCUCCUUCUCUCUUUUUCUCUCCCCCAAUCUUCCCUAUGCCUCUCGUAUCCAGGAGCCCCGUGGCCGCCGCACACCAUCGCCGCCCCUUGAAGUCAUCGUUGUCGGUUGGAUCCUGUCACCACUCCCAUAUCCACCCGCCCUCGCCGUUUCCUCGCUCAUCGGAUCACCGGAGCAGAGCAAUGGCGGCCGUGCCUGUGCUCGCUCGAGCAGAACGACGAGGAGCCACGCGCUCGACCUCGCAUGUGGGUCACGCCAGCGCUCCAGAUCCGGCCUGCCUCCUCGGCCCGAGCCACUCGCGGCCCAGCCACGAGCCCAGCAGUGCACCGGACUACCUCCGCCUCCCAGACGCCAGCAGGCCUCCCCCUAGGCCACAAGAUCUGUUGCGACCCCGAGCUGGCAUGUUAGGCCCAAUGUGAGCACUGCCUCGCUAUCACCCGCCCAACGCAUCAAAGUGCUAGCCAUCGUGCAUGCCUUUGUUCGGUCCUAUUAUACGGGCCAAAUAUGUUUUUUUUUGCUCUAGGCGAUUUUAGUAAUUAACUAGGACUUUUUUUAUUCUAGAAAAACAUCAUUAUUUUGCAUUGCUAAUAACUAAUUAACCGUGCAUUCGAUUAAAAAACUUUAUCUAAGUAAAAUAUCCAGAAUUUGUUGUAGAUUAGUAAUAUUCCACUAUCAUGCAUGUUCAAAAUGUUUAACCCACUGUUUGCAUUAUUUUGGAUGAUGCCAUAUUGAAACGAUUUAAUUCAUAGAAACAUAACCGUGCGUCGUAUUUAAAAAGUUUAUACAUGAAAGGUGCUUACAAUUUUGGUUAGUUUCAUAGUAUCCAACCCUCACAUGUGUUUAAAAUUAUUUAACUUGUUGUUUCCAUUUAAUUUGCACACAUGCCAUGUUAAAAUGAUUUGUCUCAUAAUUAAUUAACCGUAGCUUCGAUUAAAAUGUUCCACAUAUGUAACUUGACCAGAAAAAUAUGUGGAACAACAUGAUAGCAUUUGUUUUCCUGUUUAACAAAUCUAAAAUUGUGUUAUAGGCAGAACAGUACCGAAACCUUAAUUGCAUAUGGGGACUUCUCGGAAUUAUCGUUCGUUCUUCUGGCCUCAUCUAAACUUGCUUAGAAUUCCAUGUAGUUUUAUAAUAUCUUGUUGCAUCCAUUUUAACAUGUGUGUGGUUGUCAUUUGCAUACAUUUUGCAUUUAUGCCAUAUCAUCUUGUGUUGGUCAUAUGUUUUAAACCGUAGCUCCGUUUGUAAUAAUCUAUAUAUGUAAACCGACUAGAAUGACAGGGUCCACUUUAUUUUGCUAUUUAAUAAAUAUAAAAUGUGUUUAGUUCAGAUCUAGACCAAUUUCGGAAUUAACAUAUGGGGUCAUUCCGGAAAUGCUAUAUGUUGUUUCCGACCUCAUUUAAAAUGCCUAGAUUGGCAGUUCAUUUAUGCUUCACCUCUUUCCAUGCUAAACAACAUUUAAUAUUGCCACGUAAUUAAACAUGAGUGCAUUAAUUGAUUCAGUUGUGGAGUUUCGUCAAUAUGCUACUCGUUGCAUAUUGAGUUUCAUUAAAUGUGUACUAUUCGAUUGUGGUGAUUGUGAUGCCUUGCACAAUUAAAUCGGACAUGAAUCAUAUUUGUUUGUGCAUCAUGUCAUGCAUAUGUUGUGGUGUGUGUCGUGUGUUGAUUGUUGUUUACGGAUUGUUUCUUCUCGAUAGGGUUCCGAACCGCUUCUGAGUGUGAGGAUUCGUUCGACCACAUUGGUUCAUCUACUUCAUGUAUUCGUUCUUUUAUCAAGCAGGAUCACAGGCAAUAUGAUCAUUUCCCUAGAUACCAUCACUAUCAUUGCCAUGCUAGUUGUCUUGUUUUCUUACGCUAUCUCUUGCUGCCUACCACGUGUUAUGUUUAGCCUCCCAACAUUACCAUGAAAAGCCUCAAACCCCUCCACAUCCGAGUAAACCACUGUUUGGCUAUGUUAUCGCUUGCUCAGCCUUCUUAUAGCGUUGCUAGUUGCAUGUGCAAUUGAUUCCAUGUGAAAUCAUGGUUUCCUUGUUAUAGGGACCCUCGACCCCCGUGGAUAAUUAAUCAAACCCCCAGGCAUGUGCUCUGUAUGAGUGUUGGUCCAAAACGAGCGAUGUACGGCGCCCCUUGGUCACCUGGGGUGUGAGCAACCUGACGUCUUGCUCAUUCAGUCGUGCCUUGAGAAGGAGAUACGCGGCUCCAAUCGGGUCUGUCGGCAUGUCGGGCGGUCUUGCUGGAUUUGUUUUACUCUUAUCGAAGGUCUUGUGCGAGGGAUUCCAAGGAUACUUUGGGCUAUCUCGAGGUUGAGGUUUUUCACCAGGAAUACAAGGAGAUCAUGGGUUUUCCAUGGUCGAGGUUUCUGACGCAACGCGUGCACUACAGGAAUCAGCUUCUUUGCCGUCUGCCAUCACAGACGGCAAAGACAAUAUCCUGGACGGCAAAGACAAUAUCACAGACGGCAAAGAUUCUCACGGCCGGCAAAAUUUCUACUUCAGCCUACGACGGCAUAGGACCUUCUUUGCCGUCAGCUUUCGUUAGGAGCAGUCGGCAAAGUGCUCGAGACGGCAGCCGACAGGCGUUGCCAUCUUUGCCGUCUGCCUCCCCUCCACCCUUUGCCAUCUGCUGGCAGAUGGCAAAGAGCCUGUAUUGCUCCAUUUUUUGUCUGUUUUUUUAUUUCCCUANNNNNNNNNNNNNNNNNNNNNNNNNNNNNNNNNNNNCCCUACAUUUUUAUACUAUAUCUAUAUACAUACUUCAUAGCAUAUAUAGUUUUAGACAUCUUCAACACAUAUAUUUCACAGCAUAUAUAUUUCCAACAUCAUCAUGAAAUAUUUAACAAGCUAGAGAACACAUAGGCUAGCACAAUAUGUAGUUUCACAUAGUUCAUCCAUAUAUAUACAUACAUAAGUUUUACAUUGUUCGUCAAUACAAAUGAAAAAACUAAACACUAACAGUCCAUCAAUGCCAGCUUCCAUGAAAUGAAUCAAAUCUGCAAAAAGGAGAGUAAUUAAGAAAGUUAGAAGAAGUAGAAGAAGAAAAAAGAGUAAAAGAAUAAUAAGUAAAAGAAGAAGAAGAGGUAGAAGGUGCAUAUAUACAGGAAUGUUCAUUGCAUAUAUGUAGACAACUUGUUAAGGCCUGACAAAAAAAUACUAAUUAGUGUUUUAGUAUAUGCACUAUUAGCUGGCAUUAGUGUUUUAUCAAUGAUUCCUAACAGCUUUUGAACCAGAAAUCUUAUCAAAUAGACCAACCAAUCAUGUCUUAAUAACAAAAAAUAAACAAAAGUGUUGCGACAAGUAGUGCAGUAAGACUAUUCAGUUCAACAUGAUUUUAGUAGCUGAAACUUAAAAGUUUAGUUAACCACUUAGAGCACUAACUGAAGUAGGAAUCAUAUCAACUAGCACCAAAAAGCAUGGCGACACGCCGCGCCCGUAGAGGCAAUGGUAGAUCGAUAAUGAUAAAUGGAUGGUAAAAUACAAUGGUUACAAUACUAAUUUUGGAAGGCAAAUUUUAGUGCUCAUUAGUUUACAUGAGCACAAACUCAUGCACCAAAGCAUACACCAACACGAUAAUAAUUAGGUUUAAACAGAAUAUGAUGUUCCUUGCAUACAAAUUAGUAUUUUUUUUCAAAAACUUCAAAUUUAAGUCUGGAAUUAAAUAAAAUGCCAUACACAUUGACGCAUAUUUAUGGAUCUUAGUUAUUUGAUGGGGAAGAUAGACGUGGAGAUAAAUGACAUUCGUAUCAAGCUUAACAACGAACAACACUAUUUCCCAUAGUUAUUUGUGAGAGAUAUAGGUAUUCAAAUCACAAUGUGUAAAAGAGGUGAACUAACAAAGGAAACCAUCAUACUUAAAAAAACGUAAAGGUAAGCAUGGAGAUGAUAUUGUUGUUAGGAGCAUUGCAUAUUACCAUGAUGUGAGAGGGGUCUAGCCCAGCCAAGUCUGCAACUGUUGCUUAUGUUAGCUCACAUCGAUUCUGCUCCAUCGCUUGUGAUUUAAGGUGAUAGGGUGUGCUGCUGGUUGCAUAGUUGCAAUAGUAAUUAGUUUGCAGACCUAAUAUAAAGUUGUUACUAUGGGAGUAUCUGUAAAGACCUAAUAUAAAGUUUGCAGACCUAAUAGUUGCAAUAGUAAUUAGUUUACAGACCUAAUAUAAAGUUCUAAUUAACUGUAUACAUAUCAAUCAGCGAAUAAAUUGAGGGAGAAUAGGGGUACUUUGCCUCACCUAUGGGAGUAUCUUCAUAGAUGAUUGGAGUGACAAGUUGAGGGUCCAACUCCAAUACAGCUAUGCUAAAUACUAAGUCAGCAAUCCAUGUUAAACUACAAAAGAACUCUGCUCCAAAGAAGCAUGCCCAAACAACACCACAUGGUUUGCUCACGUACGUCAUGUAUUAAACUAGAUGAAGGGAACAUGAUUUGUGCUCUAGAUAUGGUGUGAACUAAACUUCUGGAGUAUAUAACUAGAUGAAGAAAAACAAUUACAUGCACUCAAGCAAACAUGUCAAUUAAUCAUGUACAGAGUCUAGCCCGUUGGAGGGAAACAAAGAAUAAUCUAAAGUAUUGGACAUAAACAUGUAUACAUACAUUCGACAUGAACAAUGACCCUCUCAUCAAGACCAACCGCUGAAAACAUUUGUCGCAGGUCAACGCCACCAGCUGGACAUAUUUGUCCAUUUAGCUAUAAUCAACAUCUGCAUUUCUUUUUUAGUUUAAUAUAAAAAUAAUACUUGAUUUGUAUGUUCCAUCAUAAUAAAUAUUUUUAGCAAUAAACUUGAUUUGUACUCCAUAUAUGGUGUGAACUAAACUACUGGAGUAUAUAACUACUGGAAGACAAGAAUAGAUGGCCGCAUGCAUCGAUUGAUUCAGAGGCCGGGGCUUUACCUCCUUUUCUAAAAAAAGGAAUAGUAAGAUAUGGAACUGUUAUGUGAAGGGCACUCGUGUGAACUAAACUUAAUAGAGCAAUAAGUACAUGAAUGUUGGUUUCUCCUGGACAAGGGUAGCGGGAAUGUACAUAUAUUCUGUGCAGUAGAAUUGGGCAUUUCUCAGGUGUAGAAGUUAUCACAUAACCAUAUUAAAUUGAAGUAAAAGGGAAGGAUAGAAUAUUGACACACUUUUCUUUAUAAAAUCUGCAAGAAAGGAAUAAAGGAGGUUCUAACACUUGAUGUUGACAUGCUUAGUGACCAGACAAAAUGGGCUACUUGGUUUUUUUAAGUUGGCCUAAGAAAUUUAGUAUUCUACUUUAUGAACAAUCUACUAUCCGGUCAUGUCCGGACAAGACUCCACUAACUAAGCAUCAUGACAAAAAUAUGAAUCCACCUUGUGGAAUAGAAACUCCGCAGUUAUGGAGACAGAAAUGCAUGAUUUGGCACAGGCAGCCAAAAUUUACCCAUACCGGCGAGAAACCAUAACAUAAUCCUUAGUUUAAUUUGAGAGGGAACAUCAGAACAUGUGUUGGCCAAAAUAUACUGACCACUAAUACUAACUUGUAAACUGUAUCCAUUUCUUUACAAAAGGGUUCCCCCCUGCUUUGUGGCCAAAAUAUACUGACCACUAAUACUAACUCUGUAUUUCAGUUGGUGCAGCAGCAACAAAGUGCCAAUUUGGGAGAUACUCUUACAUGGCUUGAGCAAUCCGAGAAUACUUGGCACGAAAACAAGGUUGAAAUUAAGGAGUGGGGAGGAGAGGGCGGGCAACAAUUACUUGCAUUGGAGUACUUUUGCUCUUGCGUGGCGGGCCAAAGAGGAAGCAGUCGGCGGUGCAGGUGUGGUCAUGGAUGGCCUCGACGGCGGGCAGGACGUCUCGAGGUCGGUGUUAAGCAGCGGCAGGGCGGAGAUGUCCACGUGCUCCACGCGAAUCCCUGGGACCCCGACUCCUCACACACUAGCCGCGCUGGCAAGGGCGGCGAGGAAGCCGCGGGGCUCGAGGUUGGUGACGGUGGUGAUGACGACCUUUUCGGUGGAUUCGGAGUCGGUCGGAGGAGGAGUUGAGGUCGCGCGCGCAGGGGCAUCCCGAAAGUGAUGGCCCAAGCAUGGGCGAUGGCAGCGAUGAAGGUCAGGCCGGUGUUGGCGCGGGCGAGGGCCUUGACAGGAAAUGAAGCUACUAAAACAAGCGAGUGAACGAGCACUCACCAACAAUCAUCCACUCGGGUGCACGUAUGGUGCACUUGCCAUGCCUCUUGAGCGCCACAGCGAGCCACAGAGGGACCUUGCUUGGAAUUUGGGGGAAGAAGGGUCCGAAAUCCCCCUACAUGGUGAAGGUGAGUACAAUGUUAGUCAAGACUGGCCAGAUGUUUAGCACCACUUGACAUUUGUGUACUGCUUGGUCUGUUGCAAAAAAAAUGGUUCCCUGCAGAUCCUUUAAUGCUCCAUUCAAAAAUUGUUGCCAAAAUUUUAGCCAACCCAGAGUGGAGGAUUGCUUCACCAAUGUUUGGCAGUAGAAACCAAACAUACCUAGACAUGAUUGACCUCUAAAAUUGGCCCAACCCUCUCAAAAAUUCCCACAUAAUGAUACUAUACAACAACCAACAGUCAGCAGAACAUCGAAGUGUACCAGUGACUAGACAGCAAAUGAUGCAUAAAGUAUCUAGACAAGUACUGUGUUAUAAAUGGCCGGAUAAAAUCUAAAGAAAUGGAGGUGCAGUGUACAUAACUACUAGUGGACUAGGAGAAAAAUACUGAUAAGUAAAAUUGAAAAUUCGUUGAGAGCACGCACGCAGAUCAUGUUGAGGGCCUCCAUGCGGAUGUUGGGGACGAUCUCGACGAUCUCGUCCUCGGCCACGAACUCCACCUGCACCAACCAACCAGCCGCCAUCACAAAUGGAGCCAGCAGCGAGGGAACAUGCCCUCCUGGGUCAACAAGGAUACAUACAGAUACGGGUGGGCGAAGGGGUGGAUUACCUCGGAGGGCGAGAAGAGGGAGAGAUGCGGGUCGGACUGCCCCUCCAUGGAGAUUCGGGCGGAGAGCAGGGGCGGAUCUGGAUGGUGCAUCGGGUGCCUCGAAGUCGAACCCCAGUGGCUGAAGACCGGGACGGGGUGGAGACAGGGGGAACGUGACGCGCCGGCGAGGAAAAAGGGGAAUAGCGACGGCGGUGGCACCGCACGUGAGAGUGCUUGGCGCGGCACGUCAGGCCGGUGUUGGCGCACGCGAGGGCGGCGAGGAAGGGCUUGACGGCUGCGGCAUGGUGGUGGUCAUCUGAGUACUCGGUGCCGAGGGAGGAACCGAGUAGGGAUUCAGUGGAUGGGUGGGUGGAGGGGAAGUGGAGGCGCGCUGGUCACCAGUGGUGGUGGCCCUUGGUCUUGGCCCAGACCAGCUCCUCGGUGGCUAGGGUUUGGGGCGGGGGCUCGUUCUGCCUGUCGGAUGGGAGCGGGGAGGAGAGGAAGAGGGGUCUGGAUCUGGGAGAGAGAGAAUGGGGAUCGGGGGAGGGCAGAUGGAGGUGGAGAGAUGGGGUGCUGUUAGAAGGCCGUCCCCUUUGCCGUCCGCCUGGGGAUAAGAUGACGACAAAGGGGUCGAGGCAGAAGGCAAAGAGGCCCUAGGCGGACGAUAAAGAGACCCCUGAUGGUAAAGAGGAUGGUUUUAGUUAUGGUGAUUUUUUGCCGUCUGUGUGAACCAUCUUUGUCAUCAGCCGUGUCUUUACUGUCUGCUUAUUCCAUGUUUGCCAUCUGCCUGCAGACGGCAAAGAAUGCACUCAUGGCAAAGAGUAUCUUUGCCAUCAGUUAGUUCUUUGCCAUGUGUUUGUUGGUAGCUGAUGGCAAAGAAUCUCUUUGCCAUCAGCUAGCAGACGGCAAAGAUCAGGCAGAUGGCAAAUUCCCUGAUUCCUGUAGUGGUGGUAGUUUGUGACAGACUAGUUGGAGCACCCCUGCAGGGUUAAUAUCUUUCGAAAAUCCAUGCCUGUGAUUAUGUGGCAACUUGGAAAUUUUGUUUAACAGUCGAUCGUAUCAAACUUGAAGUAAAGUUACAUAAAAUAUGCCAACUGUGUGCAUAACCAUGACUGUCUCUUCUCAUGAGUUCUUAUCCGAGAGAGAACAUGGUGGGAUUAUGUUUGACUCGUAAGUGGGUAUUCAGGAUCAUUCUUUGAUUAUCAUUAGUUCACAUCCCUUAUGCGUAGAUCACCCCCUCUAUUUCUUAUACUUGUAAGUUAGCCACUCACAUAAAUGCUUAGGUGCUAGUUGCAGCCUCACCACUUAACCAUACCUUACACAUUAAGCUAUGCUAGUCUUGAUACCUUUGGAAAUGAGAUUGCUGAGUCCCUGUGGCUCAUAGAUUAUUACAAUCACAGUUGCACGUACAAGUAAACGAUACUUUGACGUGAGCGCGAUGAUUGUUCUAUUUGGAGUUUCUUCUUAUUCUUCUUGUUCGAUCAUAGGAUGGGUUCCACGCCGUCAGCCUAGAAUUGCAAGGAUGGACAUCGUUCUUUAAUCAUUUGUUUUUGUCCGUAGUCGGACCCUACUCUUCUACAUGGUGAUUGAAUAUCUUGUUGUAUUUUGUUGUUCAUGAUGUAGCUUUUGGCGAGUGUAAGCCAAUUCCACAUACUCAUCUCUUCUGUACAUGUUCUUGGAAUGAUAUCCAUUCUUGCAAAACGAUGAGAAGCGCUUCUAUCCAGAUUAAGGAUAGGAUCACAUCUUGGGGGUAAAAAUUCCGGUCUCGAAGUCUAGAAUAGGGCCCGAAGUUUUUUUUUGGAUAUUUCGAGGUUUUUGGGCACAACCGGAAACUCAGAAAAGAUCAGGUUGCCCCAGGUGUUGGCAACGAAUUCCAACUCUCCGAACUUAAAUUCCUGACACGGGAUGAUCCCGUCGAUCCGAUAAUGAGCCGCCUUGAUGUGCAAGGUAUUGCUGAAAGCAAAGGAUUGGCCGGACACAAAGAUAUCUCGGGACUUAACACUAUUGCUGGUGACCAAGCGAGCCAUUGAGGCUUGUUGCAAUCUCACAAUGGAGCUCUCAAUGAAAGCACCAAUCUCGGUGUCAAAACCGGCCGAUCUCGAGUAGCGGGUCCGAACUAUGGAUCUAGGGUCGAUGGGUAACAAGAGACGAUGCAGAUGGUGUCUUAUCCAGGUUUGGGCCCUCUUGAUGGAGGUAAAAUCAUACGUCCUACUCUUGUUGUUAUUGAUGAGGUAGUACAGAGUACAGAGUUGAUCUAUUCCGAGAUCGAUGUUGUGGUCUAAACCCUAAUCGCAAUGAGCCUUAUGUAUCCUACAAGCUAUGACCCCCUGGCUUAUAUAGACGCUAGGGGUGUUAGGGUUUACACAAGGUCGGUUACAACAGAGAAGGAAUAUGUUGAUUACUACAUCUCCUGUGAUAACACGCCAAGUAUUUUAAAGAGUCCAUCUCGAGUCAAAUACUUUUGCCAACAGUCGAACAGGUCAGAGGGUCCGACCCAUGAGGAUAGGUAGGUGGCCCAAGGACCCCCUAAUCCCAGAGUCUCUUAGCGGGCUCCGACGAUAGAAGGACAGAAAGAAGAAGGAAGGCAUGGAGAUUUCGGUGGGGCGGUAGGACCAGGUGAUCAAAUAGGUGUGGAAAGGAAAGGGGGUGGCCGGUCGUUUGCCAUUUUGGGCACGGCGCGGCUGGCUAGGCUGUCGGGUGCAAGUGGGUCGCGGUGGCUGGGCUAAAAGCUUCGACCUUUUUUAUUAAAACUACGUGUUUCUUUUUCUUUUCUUUUUUAUAAAAACUAGAUAGAGAAAUAAAAGUGAUUUAGUAAAUUAAAUAAAAAAAAUACAUAGACAUGUUAUAUAUGAAAAUGACUAGAAAAAUUUAAUCUAAAACAUGAACACUUAUUGAGAGACAUUUGAAAUAAUUUUAAAAAUAGUUAUUUUCGAAAAUUCAAAAAAUGACUUUGAUCCAAAGACCAAUUGUUUUUCCAAAUAUGUUUCUAAGUUUCUAGAUUCAAAUGAAAUUGAAAUGUUCCCCUGGUUUGGACUGUCAUGUUGCUCCUCUCUUUAUUUUGAGUUGGGUCAAGGGCAUUUGAAUUUAUUUCAAAAAUGAAAAGGAUCCCAAUGGAAAUUGAAAAUAGUUUUCUUUACUCCCCACUCUCUUAUAUUCACUACAUCUUAUCUCAUGAAGGUCCUUGAGUGGCAUGAAGUUUGAAAUAUUCUCAAAGUGAAAAUUUCAAAUCAUGUCAAAUAGAAACACUUUUGGGAAAGUCAUUUUAUGCCCCCUCUUUUCAACUUUCAAUAGUUUUUAGAUUCGACUCAAUUUCAAACAAUCAAUCACACACAAAACAAACAAUCAACCAUACUUAUUUAUUUAAUAUAACUUGCAAAAAUUAGAAUUUUGGGAUGUUACAAACUAACACACUUAAAAUGAAUCUCGUCCUCGAGAUUCGAAGAGGCUAGAAGAAGGUUAGGGUAGGGGGUCUUCUGGCAAAUCCAUUGAUCGGAAAAAGUAUGGGGUGCUACCACACUUAGAGUGAGAGACAUGGCUCCAUCAAAAUUCAUGUACUCUAUCCUUAUAGUUGACGGUGUCAUUAUUCUCACAUUCUUCAGGAUAACUCUUCCACCGAGGUUCUUCGAGUAAGGGCAUAACUUUUUCCUUAAUUCUUGCAUCGUUUCAUCCUGGUAGGGUUCUUCCGAGACUGGGUCUUCUUAACUGAUAGGUAUGUCGCCAAUACUAAACAACUAUCAAACAAUUCUCACGAUGGUCAACAAUUAAUGGUUUCUCCUGUAGGAAAAUGGGUUUGGAUUGAAUCUCACCGUAUAUUCUACGAUUGGCAACGUUUGGCUUUACAGGGUUCCAUCGUCCUACCAUUCUAAUGUUCUUGGCUUGUCGUACUAGCACUCUUCUAAGGUUUUAAGGCUCUUUGAUUUUCCACCAACAUAUGGUAGUUUGUGAUAAAAGUCUCCGGUAUGGUGCUCAAUCCAUCCCGUACUUGAAUUAUUACUACAUACGCAAACAGCGGAACACGAAUUCUAACACUUGGGCAUCCUCACAAGCAUUUCAGAAUUUCUCUUGUUGAUGAAUUGAGUUCAGAUAAAUCCACUGAUUCUGCAAGUUGAACAAAACGUCUACCGUUUCUUCACAACUUAAAGGUUUUCAUAUUUUCCCAUGUCACCUUGUGGGAUCGAUAGAAGGGGUGUCUAGACGGGGGGGGGGGGGGGGAAAAAGGGGUGUGGGAGCGGGGGGGGGGGGGGGUGAAUAGACUACUUGAAUAAAUUAAAAUCCUAGCCUUUUCCCAAUUUUAAUGGUUGGCAGAUUUUAGCAAUUCUAACAAGCCUAGUACACCCUACACAUGCUAGUCAACAUAUAUUGCAACGUAAAAUAAAGACAUUGCACAUAUAAUUAAGGAGUAGAGUUUAGGAAGAUCAAACACAAAGAUGAACAAGGCCAUUUUUGGCGUGGUUCCGAUAGGUGGCGCUAUCGUACGCCCAUGUUAGUGGAGACUUCAACUCACGGAGGGUAACGACUGUGAGAGUCAAUGGAGGACUCCACCCACAAGGCUUACGUCCACCAUGGCUUACGUCCACACAGGACUAGACCUUGCACAUGGCUUACGUCCACACAGGACUAGCCUCACUCAUGGUAGAUCUUCACGAAGUAGGCGAUCUCCUUGCCCAUACAAACUUCUUGGUUCAACUCCACAACACGAAGUAGAGGCUCCUAAGAUACACCUAACCAAUAUAGGAGGCACCACCCUACAAAAGGUAUUAGAUGCGAUAGAACUAUGAACUCCUUGCUCUUGUGCUUGAAAAGACAGUCUCCUCAACACUCAAUCACUCUCUCAUAGAUUUGGCAUGGGUAUGAGAGAUUAAGUUGGGGAGGCUAGAGAUUAAGUUUCAAAUGGAUGGAUUGGAAUCUCUUGAUCUCAACACAUGAGUAGGUCGCUCUCUCUCAGAAAAAUGGAUCUCGCAAGUGUGUGUGUGUGUGUGUUUUGAGUGCUUCCUCUACAAGUGAUAGGAGGUGGAGGGGUAUAUAUAGGCAUCCCCAAAAUCCAACCAUUGCAACAUUAUUGCCCAACUCGGUGACAACAAAAUGGAUCUCGAUAGUACCAAGUUGCACUAAAUGUUGCAACUCUUUAAUUCUCGGUGAGACCGAUAUAUGAAUCUCGGAGGUACCGAUACAAUGACCUAGGACAGUUUCCAAAUCUCGGUGGUACUAAUUUCAAUCCUGGAAAUUUCGUUUCUUAAAAUGGAGACACCAGAAAAUUGGUCACUGUCUUUCGGUGGUACCGAGAGAUUAGGUUUUUGCAAAGUAUCUGUCAUUGGGAAAAUCAGUAGGGCCGAGUGGGAAAACUUGGUGGCACUGAUUUUGCUGUUUUGGCUUGGGACAGAGAUUCUUGUGAGAGAAAUGCUGAGUGUUUUUGGUGGCUAUCUCUAAGCACUUGAGCAACCAAUUCAUCACAAUACCUCACCCUUUUAAUAGUAUUGGCUAUCCUAUGGACUCAAAAGUGAUUUCUCACAAAUGUAAAAUGUAGAUUCAUCUUGCUUGAAGCUUGAGCAAAUCAUAUUCCUUUCCUUGCAUCAAGGGGUUUCUCCUCACAAUCCUUUGGCCAAUGCUCUCUCUGGGAUAUACGUAAAAUAUACUAGGUAAAAGUGUUAGUCCAAGAGACAAUUUACAUUGUCAUUAAUUAUCAAAACCACCAAGGGAGCAUAUGUGCUUUCAACCUCCCCCUUUUUGGUAAUUGAUGACAACAUACAACCAAAUCUUUAAAUAAAGAUAUGCAUUAGAAUAUGACAGAUUUGAGAGAUACAUGACUAUUACAAGCCCCCCUAAAUAUAUGCAAUCCCCUUUUAAAGGAUAGUUGCUUUGGACUGCAUGACCACACACAUGGUAGAAGGAUAAGAGAAGUCAUGCAAAUCUUGGCUAUAUGCAUCAAACAUAUGCGAAUGAAGGACUUCCAUGUUAAAGACUCACUCUUGCAAACAAUAUGUGCAAGAGACAAGAGAUCAUCCUAAACAAGGAUAUGAUGCAUAUACUUUACCUUUAGGUUCCUCAGCGUCAUGGAAUUAGGAGUACACUUGGGAAAACAAAUGUUAGAUAACACAAGAGUACUCUAUUUUAAAGAUGCAAAGAUCUUCAUAAGUACCAAGAUAUAGAGAACAUAUGACAAAUCUGAUUUGAUGGUAGAUAUGUCUCCAAGUAUAUUAGGACUUUCUCCCCUUAGAAUGAGUAUGUAAGAUUACCUCUCCCCCUGAAUCAUAGCAUGUAGAUAUUAGGAGUAGAUAGGGUGAGACAAGUUCAAUCCAAAGAUGACAAUAAAUAAAUUUAUAUAAGAUUUAUAUCUCUCCCCCUUAAUGGUAUUUCUCCCCUUGAGUAUAUGUCUCCCCCUUUGUCUGAAGCUUAUUGGAAGCAUUGAUAUUUCUCCCCGAGUGGCAUUAAUUUCCAAAAAGGUCAGAGGGUAAGGGUUCAUUGAGAGUAAGAGAUCCUGGAUUCUUCUCUCUUUGUUAAGGAUUCCUUGAAUUUGACCUCCCCCCCUUAAGUACACAUAUGAGUUCCUUGAUUUA